CCAUAUCCUAAAUACACUAAAACUCCUAAUUAAUAUAACCAUUCCGACCGGGUAUAAAGGUCGUGAUUAACCCUACCCGACCGGAUAUAAAAGAUCGUAAUUAACUUGCUCGACCGAGUAUAAUUGUCUUAAAGUUCCGAGAUUUCUGGCUGAUAAGAGCCGUCAUCUCGAGGAAGGGUAUUAGGGAUAUAUAUCCCACAUCGGGAAUUCUAAGGGACAUUAAGUAAUAUAUAA
rnacentral:lncRNA from 1 species